UACGAAGGGGGCUAGCGUUGCUCGGAAUUACUGGGCGUAAAGCGCACGUAGGCGGUCCUUUAAGUCGGGGGUGAAAUCCUGGAGCUCAACUCCAGAACUGCCUUCGAUACUGAAAGACUUGAGUCCGGGAGAGGUGAGUGGAACUGCGAGUGUAGAGGUGAAAUUCGUAGAUAUUCGCAAGAACACCAGUGGCGAAGGCGGCUCACUGGCCCGGUACUGACGCUGAGGUGCGAAAGCGUGGGGAGCGAACAGG
rnacentral:rRNA from 1 species